CGAUGACUUCGGGGCGGCGGUGGCUUGGGAGGUAGCCCGCUCCCGGUGUCCCGUGCGGAGGCCUCUCCCCGGGGCUGGGGUCAGAUCGCCCCCGGGGUGGACGGUCCCUGCAUUCUGUCCUUUGCUGGGGUGUCUCUGGCCGCUGCUCUCUCUCCCUCCCUUUCCUGCCGGGGGGCCCCUCCCCGCUCGGUGUCUGGGUCUUGCCUACCGCGGAGAGGGGUCCCCCCGCCUCAUCCCAUGUAAACCCAGCGCUGCAUCUGCCAAGCGGUUUUGAUGAUGAUUGAAGCAUCGGAACCAGGAGGACACCUCUCAGCACCGGUGGGGCCUCCAAAAACCCUCCGUGCAUCGUAAAAGCGGAGGCUGUGGCUUUGUUCUCCCGGGUGCCGGGUGCGGAGCGCCCCCCACCACCCAUCCCGCCCGGAAGAGUGCGGGCCCCCCAUUGUUGUCGCUAUUUAUCUUCCAGAGGUGCCUGCGGACAGGCUGCAACAUUGCUUUGAGUUUGCACACACAUUCUGGCCACGGGAUCCGCCUCCCUCCCCCCUCAGUAUCCGUUUCCGUGUAUGUUUUUAUUUCUAUUCCCUAGCUGGCCUUUUAGUGAGCAUUAUUGAGCAAGUUUUCAGAAGCCCGUACGUUUUGUUUACGUAAUGUUUUUGUAAUACUGGCCCUGGAAUUGAGGGGAAAAGAAAGCCAAGAAGUGUUAGAAAACUGUGUCUCUCUCUGCGUGAUGGACAUUUCAGUUGCCCCCCCCCCAUCCCGAUGUGUUUAUUUUUUUAAACAGGAUGCGAAAGUAUAAACUGGCAUUGAAAAGUAGAAUAUCAUUACAGAAUUUGGAAGACUUAAGACUCUUUUUAAAAUAACAGUAGGUCCUGAACCUUUUCCAUUCUCUUGCCUGGCUUCUGACUGUGCCUAAGGAACCUGAAUUUGCGAAACAACAGGCUGAAUUAAGAGCAAUCUCUGUGGCACAGGAUGAACCAGCCUUGAAGAGAAAAUACUACAAACUGGCUAAUGGAUGUGAAAAUGAUGUUUUAUUUUUGUGACCAGCAUCUGUGAGAUCUGUAAUAGAAAUGAUGGCUGGCUGUGGUGAAAUUGAUCACUCAGUAAACAUGCUUCCUACAAACAGGAAAGCGAAUGAGUCCUGUGCUAAUACUGCACCUUCUCUAACUGUCCCUGAAUGUGCCAUUUGUCUGCAAACAUGUGUUCACCCAGUCAGUCUGCCUUGUAAGCAUGUUUUCUGCUAUCUGUGUGUAAAGGGAGCUUCAUGGCUUGGAAAGCGAUGUGCCCUCUGUCGACAAGAAAUUCCCGAGGAUUUCCUUGACAAGCCAACCUUAUUGUCACCAGAAGAACUCAAGGCAGCAAGUAGAGGAA